rnacentral:rRNA from 1 species
AACCGCUGCAGGUAAACGGGUGGCGUCAAGCUGCGAGCCCAGAGGAUUCAGCUGUCUAGGAUGUUGUGAUGCGCCUGGCGCAUCCAUCAGUCGGAAUAAGAUGUGAUAGUCCACUGGGAGACGGUGGGCCCAGCUGCAAGGUUGGGAUAUGUGUACCGGGUGUUAGCCGGAGCAUGCUAUUCAUCUGUUGGGCUGUCUAGGCAGUGCAAUUUCUCUGUGGUGAACACCACGACCGGUGGAAUUGCCAGUCUGCUGUAGUCGAGUCUUGCUGAGAGGGUCCUUGUGGCCAACUUGGUGAGAUCACAGGCGAUGUCAGUGUACGGCGUAGGAGUGCCUUUGGUGUUCUUACGUGUUAUCGGGCGCUGCUUGUCAACGGGCCUGCUCGGUGGUUGUUGUAACUGCCAUUGAGUGGUCUGGUGGGCUAUGGUGGUAAGAAAAACUGUGCAAGGCACCGGGGAUGUCGGCCUCAAAAGCGCUCUACACUGGCAUGUUACAAGUGCGAGGGGGUGCCAUUGCGGUCUGCCUGUUGUUGAGUCUGAUUGUCGUGUCGCCUGCGCAAAGUGGGCCCGGCAGUGGCUUGAUGCAGGAUGGGCUGUGGAUGGUGUCUCUCAGGUGUGGAGUGCGGUGGGCCCAAUAGUCAGUGGUGCUGUGGUAGACGAGCUACCCGACCCGUCUUGAAACACGGACCAAGGAGUUUAACAUGUAUGCGAGUCAAGGGGUCCUACGAAACCCAAAGGCGCAGUGAAAGUAAAGCUUCGACUUGUUCUCGGAGUGAGGUGAGAUCCUGCCGUGACUCGCAUCGCUUGGUGCCAGCAUCAGGCAAAGAGCGGUAGGCGCAUCACCGGCCCGUCCCAUGAUGUGGUCAUUGGAUGUCUGCGGUCGUUGCUUGC